GGGUGGUUAGCUCAGCCGGUAGAGCAGCGGACUUUUAAUCCGUUGGUCCGGGGUUCGAAUCCCCGACCACCUACCA
rnacentral:tRNA from 2 species